rnacentral:rRNA from 1 species
GUGGGGAAUAUUGGACAAUGGGGGAAACCCUGAUCCAGCCAUGCCGCGUGAAUGAUGAAGGCCUUCGGGUUGUAAAGUUCUUUUGGAGGGGACGAUGAUGACGGUACCCUCAGAAUAAGCUCCGGCUAACUUCGUGCCAGCAGCCGCGGUAAUACGAAGGGAGCUAGCGUUGUUCGGAAUUACUGGGCGUAAAGGGCGCGUAGGCGGUUUGGUCAGUCAGAUGUGAAAGCCCAGGGCUUAACCCUGGAACUGCGUUUGAUACUGCCAAGCUUGAAUUCGGGAGAGGUGAGUGGAAUUCCCAGUGUAGAGGUGAAAUUCGUAGAUAUUGGGAAGAACACCAGUGGCGAAGGCGGCUCACUGGACCGACAUUGACGCUGAGGCGCGAAAGCGUGGGGAGCAAACAGGAUUAGAUACCCGGGUAGUCC